rnacentral:rRNA from 1 species
UACGUAGGGUGCAAGCGUUGUCCGGAAUUAUUGGGCGUAAAGAGCUCGUAGGCGGUCUGUUGCGUCGGCUGUGAAAACCCGAGGCUCAACCUCGGGCCUGCAGCCGAUACGGGCAGACUAGAGUUCGGCAGGGGAGACUGGAAUUCCUGGUGUAGCGGUGAAAUGCGCAGAUAUCAGGAGGAACACCGGUGGCGAAGGCGGGUCUCUGGGCCGAUACUGACGC